CCGACCUCGAGAGGGUGACCGGCCACAUUGGGACUGAGAUACGGCCCAGACUCCUACGGGAGGCAGCAGCUGAGAAUCUUCCACAAUGGACGAAAGUCUGAUGGAGCGACAUCGCGUGAGGGAUGAAGGCCUUCGGGUUGUAAACCUCGGAAAUUAUCGAAGAAUGAGUGACAGUAGAUAAUGUAAGCCUCGGCUAACUACGUGCCAAGU
rnacentral:rRNA from 1 species